UCGGUCGUGAAAACCCGGGGCUCAACCCCGGGACGCCGGUCGAAACUGUUGUGACUAGAGUUCGGUAGAGGUGAGUGGAAUUCUCGGUGUAGCGGUGGAAUGCGCAGAUAUCGAGAGGAACACCAGUAGCGAAGGCGGCUCACUGGGCCGAAACUGACGCUAAGGAGCGAAAGCAUGGGGAGCAAACAGGAUUAGAUACCCUGGUAGUCCAUGCCGUAAACGAUGAACACUAGGUGUGGCGGAUUCAUUGACAUCUGCCGUGCCGUAGCUAACGCAUUAAGUGUUCCGCCUGGGGAGUACGGCCGCAAGGCUAAAACUCAAAGGAAUUGACGGGGCCCCGCACAAGCGGCGGAGCAUGCGGCUUAAUUCGAUGCAACCCGAAGAACCUUACCUGGACUUGACAUCAUGGGUCUACCUGUAGAAAUAUAGGGUGCUUAUGCGCCCAUGACAGGUGGUGCAUGGCUGUCGUCAGCUCGUGUCGUGAGACGUUGGGUUAAGUCCCGCAACGAGCGCAACCCCUGUCCUAUGUUGCCAGCACGUAAUGGUGGGGACUCAUGGGAGACUGCCGGGAUAACUCGGAGGAAGGCGGGGAUGACGUCAAGUCAUCAUGCCCCUUUUGUCCAGGGCUGCACGCAUGCUACAAUGGGUGAUACAACGGGCUGCCAACCUGCAAAGUGAGCGAAUCCUUAAGUCAUCCUAGUUCGGAUUGAGUCUGCACUCGACUCCUGAACCGGAGUC
rnacentral:rRNA from 1 species